rnacentral:lncRNA from 1 species
UUAAUUUACAUACAUCAAAGUUUACUUUCCCAGGUACGUGACCUUCAAAAUACAUUCCUUACAAUACCUGACAAUAGAUUCCAUUGUCUUACUAACUAUAACCAUUAACUCAUACUAAUUCUCAUUCGAACAGCUUUUCUUUUCCCUUGUUCGUGCCUGAGCCUUCAGGUCGAUCGUAGGUAACUGAAAACAUUUAGUUUAAGCAAGGAUGAGCAUUUGAGUGCCCAGCAAGUAAUAGCAAUUAUAUAUAUAAGCUGAAAGAAUAUAAGUAUUCUCUUUACAUAACACUUCUACAACGAAUCAAAAGUUGUGAAGUAAUCUGUACUGAUAAAAGAUUCACAUAACAACUCUCUUUCAAUUUCUUGAAAUUAGGCUCCACCCAUGAAUAGGGUUUAAGAAACAUACUAUGAACAUUGUUUUUCAUUUUCGAAAAGGUUUAGCAGAAAUUCAUCCGCAAACCGUCAUAACUUACGGGCACGGAGGGUGAUCAGCCCCGUUGUACCCUGUAUUGAUCAAUACUACAUAACUUGAACGAAAUUCAUCGCUCACCCUUUGUCCGCCGAAGCGCAUAAAAAUUUUCCCAUUAUCGGGAUGUUCAUACAUGCCUGGUUCCAAACCCGAAGGUUUUUAAUCUUGCUCAACAAUAAUAUGUAAUUCAACAUAUAUGUAUACGGGUAAUUGACAAAGGUAUAUCAACAUGUGAAUAAAUGCCAUGAUUAUCCAAGUGGGGACACUUGUAUAACCAUUUAGAAAUCAACUUAACAGAAUAUAUAUCUGAGCUAACAUGUUGAUAAUCAAAGCGUACAUAAUCUGUACAGGAAUAGAAUAAUUCUGAAACUUCUUACUCAUGUCCAUUGCAUAAAGGAAAUGCAAAGGUAAGAUACUUGCCUGAUUCGCUGAUUACAAAUCUCAACUUAGGUUUUAUCUCUUUAUCACAACCUAUCAAUAAUCAGAUCAUUCGUUCGAUUAGAACAAUAUAUCAUAACACAUAGUACUGUCUAUUACAGUCAGCACAUAGUCUAAUCACGUCAUCACAUAAUCGCAGUGAUCAUACUUUUAGUUCAUAUUCUAUACUUGAAAUAUUUUUAUACAUUUUUCAAAUAUCUCAUCCAUGCUCUUACAGAAGUCUUUUCUUUCUAUUAUAGGGUCUGACAUUUGUCGGCGUACCGACAGCUUUAUCGGGUAAAUACUGAGUCUAAGACUCUUAUCCUAUACCUCAACAUCUGUAAAUAUCAAACAUUUUAUUUUUAAUCAUUUUCGAAUUUUCCAGAAAUUGAAAAAUUUAAAAUAAUUCAAAUCUGUCACUACCGGGCCUAUAGUGAUAUAACUGUUACUAUAGGUGUUCCUCAAAACUUCAUAACUUCAUAAUCGGUUCUCAAGUCAGCUAGUUUGGCCGGCUAUAACUUUCAAACAUCGGAAUCAUAAUUAAAUGAUUUAAACAUUAAACAAUUCCAUUAUCAUUAAUAAUUAAUUUAUAUUAAACUAUUAAUGAAACCAUUGCCAAAAUAUAAAAGUUAUUUAUAAUAACUCAAACUAUUUUUAAAACAUUUAUAUUACCCUUAAAUGAUUUUUAAAACAAUUAAAAUCAUUUUUAAAUAAUCACCAUUAAUAUAUAAAUAUUAAUGUACUAUUCAUCCAAAUAUUAAAAGUCAUUAAUUAUAACUUAAAAUAUUUUUAAAUCCUUAAUAUCCUCUUUAAAUGAUUUUUAAAUAAAUAAAACCAUUUUUAAACUAUUUAUUUAAUAAUAAUUAUUAAAUAAACUAAAUAUCAUUAAUAUUAUCUUAAUAUCAUUAAUAUUAAAUUAUUAAUGAAAUUAUCCUUUAAAUAUUAAAAGUUAUAUUUUAUAACUUAAAAUAUUUUUAAAUACCUUAAUUUCAUUUAAAAUGAUUUUUAUAAUAUUAAAAUCAUUUUUAAACUAAAUUAUUUAAUAUAAUCAUUAAAUAACUUUAAUAUCAUUAAUAUAUAAUUAAUUAAUGAAAUUCAUCACAAAAUAUUAAAAGUCAUGGGAAAUAACUUAAAAUAUUUUCUUAUACCAUAAUAUAAUUUUUCAUGAUUUUUCAUGAAUUAAAACUAUUUUUAAAUCAUUUAUUUAAUAUUAUAAUUAAAUAAAUAAAUACCUUUUAUAUUCCAAAAAUAUUAAAUAUUUAUGAAAUAUACUCAAAAUAAUUAAAAACUAUUUUUCAGACUUUAAAAUAAUUUUUCAUAAUUUAUUUGGUAUUUUUAAUAAUUAAAAUCUAAUUUUUCUAAUUUUUAAAUCAUUUUUCGGAAAAUCAGAAAUUAAAAUAAUUAAAACUGUCGCUAAAGGCCCCUAUAGUGACAGAAGUGUCGCUAUAGGUGUUCUUGAGCCUACCCAGAUCUUCAUAAGGCAGAACCGAGUGGCCUACUUUGACCGUGAAUAACUCUCUCAUCUUAACGAAUUUGGACAAUCUAUAAAUUGGGUCUUGUAGAGGAAAUACAAGACUACAAGAUCCAACAAUCAUAACCUCUAAACAAACAUCAGAUCUGGGAUAAAUCAGCCAUCAAAGUAGCUACCAAAGCUGUUCUUCACGAAGAACAGUUCGAGGUGCCUACUUUGGACCUCUAUAACUUGAUGAUCGUGUAACGUUUAUGUGAUCUAUCAAUUCCAGUGUGUAGACAACAUGUAGGACUACAACUCUAACACUUAACAUCAUCAUAAAAACAAGAAAUCAAGCAUCUAAAGUAUGGUCAAACCUUGUCAGAAAAAUUAACACUUAGAAAAUUCUGGGCUGCCCAGAAUUUUCUGGUCAAUGCCGGUCAACCCACUUUGACCUUAAAUAACUCUUAAUCCGUAAUAUAUAUGGACCUGAUUCUUUUUGGAGGUUAAAUACCACAUAACAAGAUACACAUAUCAACCUUUAGAACACAAAACACAUUAAAGAUAACCGAGAUAUAAGGCCUGACAUUUUCCAAAAUAAUAUUUUCUGGACACUUAGAAUAUUUUCUGGGUUUGAAGAACAGCCGGUCAAUGCCGGUCAACCCACUUUGACCGCUUAUAAAUCCCGAUCUACAAUAGCUAUGAACUUUAUUCCUUUUGGAGAUUAAAGACCACAUAUCAGGCUACCUAUAACAACUUUUAAAAAACAAAACUCGAGAUCGACCAAAGAUUUAUAGCCUCUGACAUUUGGUGAAAAAUAACAGAAUUCGGUUUUUCCAACUUGUUUAAAUCUUCAAAUUCGUGCACUUUGAUGUUAUGGGUUCAUGAUUUUACAACCCAGAACAUUAAUAGACUCUCUAUUACACUACUUUAAACAAUCAAUUGCAUCAAUUAACAUCGAAUCGAAGGAUUUCUAGAAUUUAGGAUUUCCUACCUUUUCAAGCUUGAUUUUUGAUUUCUGGCUUCUUGAUGCUUCUGAUUUGUUGUUUGUGAUGGUUGGGCUUUGUUUAGGGACUGAUAUGCUACAAUAAUU